GACGAACGCUGGCGGCGUGCUUAACACAUGCAAGUCGAACGGAAAGGCCCUGCUUUUGUGGGGUGCUCGAGUGGCGAACGGGUGAGUAACACGUGAGUAACCUGCCCUUGACUUUGGGAUAACUUCAGGAAACUGGGGCUAAUACCGGAUAGGAGCUCCUGCUGCAUGGUGGGGGUUGGAAAGUUUCGGCGGUUGGGGAUGGACUCGCGGCUUAUCAGCUUGUUGGUGGGGUAGUGGCUUACCAAGGCUUUGACGGGUAGCCGGCCUGAGAGGGUGACCGGCCACAUUGGGACUGAGAUACGGCCCAGACUCCAACGGGAGGCAGCAGUGGGGAAUAUUGCACAAUGGGCGGAAGCCUGAUGCAGCAACGCCGCGUGCGGGAUGACGGCCUUCGGGUUGUAAACCGCUUUCGCCUGUGACGAAGCGGGAGUGACGGUAAUGGGUAAGGAAGCACCGGCUAACUACGUG
rnacentral:rRNA from 1 species